CAAAAUGUUUAGAAAUACAGGGGUAAAUUCGUCUUAACACAAUUCCUUAACACAAAGGGGAUAUGAAGACUCUAAAGUGGUUUUGCAGAUUAGUUGUCCCACAAAAGGGACACAAGAGAUGAUCAUUCGAUUAUAAGAGGGAGGAAGGAAGAAGACGAAGGAGAUGUAUAUUUAUUUUUAAUUCUUUUCAUCGUUUUUAAAUAAUUAUUUAAAUUA
rnacentral:sRNA from 1 species